GUCUCCCUUCGUUUUCUGCCCUGACUUUAAAAGUGUACAGAAAGCUGCAGCUUGGAUGGGACAGAGGGCCACGUGAUCACUUGGUGCAUCCAGAAGGCCAAUCCCAUGCCUCCCUCUGGACCUCUGCCUCUGACUGCUGUGAUGCUGCCACUGUGGGGAAAGAUAUAGCUACUAAAAUCAGAAAAUGUUGCAAAGUGGCUGGUGCAGAAUCACUACAAUCCAUCCCAGUUGAAUCAAUAGAGUCACCAAGGUGCCUGACCUGCCAGAGAGAAAAUUAAUGGAGG